CGAUUCUAUCGCUUGGACGAGUUUGUCCAGGGCGUCGGGUUGAGAUGCUUGCUCUAUCAAGUUAGCGGCGGACGGUUGAGUAACACGUGGGUAACCUGCCCAUAAGACUGGGAUAACUCCGGGAAACCGGGGCUAAUACCGGAUAACAUUUUGAACUGCAUGGUUCGAAAUUGAAAGGCGGCUUCGGCUGUCACUUAUGGAUGGACCCGCGUCGCAUUAGCUAGUUGGUGAGGUAACGGCUCACCAAGGCAACGAUGCGUAGCCGACCUGAGAGGGUGAUCGGCCACACUGGGGUGUAGACAAGGUCCUAACGGGCAUGGGGAUUUGCAGUAAGGACCAUCUCGCUAUGGACGAAAGUCCUGACGCAGCAUCGCCGCCGUGAGUUGAUGAAGGCAUUCGGGUCGUAAAACUGCUGUUGUUAGGGAAGAACAAGUGCUAGUUGAAUAAGCUGGCAGCUUGACGGUACCUAACCAGAAAGACCACGGCUAACUACGUGCCAGCAGCCGCGGUAAUACGUAGGUGGCUAAGCGUUAUCCGGAAGUUAUUGGGCGUAAAGCGCGCGCAGGUGGUUUCUUAAGUCUGAUGUGAAAGCCCACGGCUCAACCGUGGAGGGUCAUUGGAAACUGGGAGACUUGAGUGCAGAAGAGGAAAGUGGAAUUCCAUGUGUAGCGGUGAAAUGCGUAGAGAUAUGGAGGAACACCAGUGGCGAAGGUCGACUUUCUGGUCUGUAACUGACACUGAGGCGCGAAAGCGUGGGGAGCAAACAGGAUUAGAUACCCUGGUAGUCCACGCCGUAAACGAUGAGUGCUAAGUGUUAGAGGGUUUCCGCCCUUUAGUGCUGAAGUUAACGCAUUAAGCACUCCGCCUGGGGUAGUACGGCCGCAAGGCUGAAACUCAAAGGAAUUGACGGGGGCCCGCACAAGCCGGUGGAGCAUGUGGUCUAAUUCGAAGCAACGCGAAGAACCUUGAUCACGUCUUGACAUCCUCUGAAUACCCUAGAGGAUAGGGCUCCUCCUUCGGGAGCAGAGUGGACAGGGGGUGCAUGUCUGUCGUCAGCUCGUGUCAGUGAGAGUGUUGGGCUUAAGUCCCAGCAACGAGGCGCAACCCUUUAUCUUAGUCGCCAUCAUUACGUCGGCCACAUCUUAAGGUAACUGCAGGUAACAAACGGGAUGAAGGUCCGGAUUGAGGAAAAUAAUCAUCAUGCCCCUUAUGACCUGGGCUACACACGUGCUACAAUGGACGGUACAAAGAGCUGCAAGACCGCGAGGUGGAGCUAAUCUCAUAAAACCGUUCUCAGUUCGGAUUGUAGGCUGCAACUCGCCUACAUGAAGCUGGAAUCGCUAGUAAUCGCGGAUCAGCAUGCCGCGGUGAAUACGUUCCCGGGCCUUGUACACACCGCCCGUCACACCACGAGAGUUUGUAACACCCGAAGUCGGUGGGGUAACCUUUUUGGAGCCAGCACGCUGUAUCGGUGGGUACAGAUGGAGCACCUCAGUAAGACUGUGCAUACUAGACCAA
rnacentral:rRNA from 1 species